AUUGAACGCUGGCGGCAUGCCUUACACAUGCAAGUCGAACGGCAGCACGGGAGCAAUCCUGGUGGCGAGUGGCGAACGGGUGAGUAAUAUAUCGGAACGUGCCCAGUCGUGGGGAUAACGUAGCGAAAGCUACGCUAAUACCGCAUACGAUCUAUGGAUGAAAGCGGGGGAUCGCAAGACCUCGCGCGAUUGGAGCGGCCGAUAUCAGAUUAGGUAGUUGGUGAGGUAAAGGCUCACCAAGCCGACGAUCUGUAGCCGGUCUGAGAGGACGACCAGCCACACUGGGACUGAGACACGGCCCAGACUCCUACGGGAGGCAGCAGUGGGGAAUUUUGGACAAUGGGCGCAAGCCUGAUCCAGCAAUGCCGCGUGCAGGAUGAAGGCC
rnacentral:rRNA from 1 species